GUAGGAGUGAGCCUGCUCGCGAUGGCGGUGUGUCAGCCAGUUUGAUGUCACUGACCCACCACCAUCGCGAGCAGGCUCACUCCUAC
rnacentral:antisense_RNA from 1 species